GACGAACGCUGGCGGCGUGCUUAACACAUGCAAGUCGAACGCUGAAGCUCAGCUUUCGUUGGGUGGAUGAGUGGCGAACGGGUGAGUAACACGUGAGUAGCCUGCCCCCUUCUUUGGGAUAACGCCCGGAAACGGGUGCUAAUCCUGGAUAUUCACUGGUCUUCGCAUGGGGGUUGGUGGUAUGGGUUUUUCUGGUGGGGGAUGGGCUCGCGGUCUAUCGGCUUGUUGGUGGGGUUAUGGCCUCCCAAGGCUUAGACGGGUAGCCGGCCUGAGAGGGUGACCGGGCACAGUGGGACUGAGAUGCGGCCCAGACUCGUACGGGAGGCAGCAGUGGGGAAUAUUGCAGAAUGGGCGCAAGCCUGAUGCAGCGACGCCGCGUGAGGGAUGGAGGCCGUCGAGUUGUGAACGUCUGUCGCUCAUGGUCAAGCCGCAACAAUGGUUGUGGUGAGGGUAGUGAGUAAAGAAGCGCCGGCUAACUACGUG
rnacentral:rRNA from 1 species